UCCAUAUGCAGAUAGGGAGGAGGAGCCUGUGAUGGUUAAGGUCAGUUGGAAUGCAACUGUUACUGGUCGGAAGAUGUUCUUGAUUGUAGAGGAGAGGGAUAGAUAGAUAGAUAGAUAGAUAGAUAGAUAGAUAGAUAGAUAGAUAGAUAGAUAGAUAGCUGGGCAGGGGUCUGCGAAGAGAGGAGUUGUGAGGGAGGGGAAGAGAGAAGAAGGAAGGGCGAGGGACAAGCCGAGCCUCUCAGUGGCCUGAGGGGAACGAGCUGACAUGGCAGUGGUGGCAGUGAGGAAGGGCCCGGUCAAACACUGCUGCUGCUGCUGCUCCUGUGGGGAGCAGCAGGAGUGAAGUUCAGGUGAGGAGGUCUCUGGGGAUAGGGGGCUGCAGCUUGGCCAACAGGUGCCAGAAACGCUGCCGCCGCAACCAAAAGGAGUGAGGAGAAUGAAGUAAAGGGACGGAAGAGUGACCAGAAGGAGUGAGGGGGAUGGAAGCAACCUGAUGGAGGAGGAGCAGCAGCAGGAGUGAGGCUCAGGAAAACAAGGAGAGAACAGAAUAGAAAGGUCUUGGAACAAUAGCGCGACGUGUACUACAACAGACUGCAGGUGAAUCCCAAGCAUGCAAACCAAGUCCAAAAUCAUGGAAGACUAGAAAAUGAUGAUUGCUUGGAGCCAAAGAACCAGAAGGAGGGAGUGUAUUUGUGCUGAUCGACAAAAUAUUGCACAAGCACUAGCAGAAGAUUUCUUGCAGUACAGCACCAGGGGCACAGAUACCAUGAAGACAGAGAGAGCAGCCACACCCGGACUGCUACUGCCAGGGAGCUCCCAACCUCUUCCCCCGUACUUUCUCCACAUCGGGCACUCAACUGGUGGCUCUCUAAGACCACUAAGGUGCCUGGUCAUACCAGCGAGAACAAGCAGCCCCUUUAAAUGAUGCUGUUCUCAUUGGCAGCUCAGCAACAUCAUCAGGCUGUGCUGGUGCAGCUGCAGUGAAGGCAGAAAGUCAGGCAGCAGUGGUGGCAAAGGAGACGGGCAAGCAAGUGGCAAAGGAGACGGGCAAGCAAGUGACAGAGGCAGUGAAGAAGAAGACAAAAAAUUGAAGACCAACCCACCCAUCCUUAAAUCUUCCCCCCAGCCUUCGUACACCCCGAGCACAGCAAUGUAUCGAGAUUGCGACAGUCAGAAAAACAUGGUAAAAGGGAUGAUGCAGACUGUGGCUUAUAAACUCCAGUGCAGGGAUGCCCAACCUUGGGUUCGCAAAUGAUGUUGGCCUACCACUCGCAUCAUCUUGAGCCACCAUGGCCUUUGUGGCUGGAGAUGGCUUUGUGAUUGAGGAUGAUGGGUAGUCCAACAAAAUCUGGGGCCCCAAGGUUGAGCACUAGGAGAAGACAAAGGGUCUUGAAUCGAGUUGGUACGGAGAUGUUCUUUAGAUUUGGGGUUGUUUUUCUCAUGCAAUGGUCUUCCAUUAAGUCCCUUCAUCAAUGAAACAGCUCUUCAGUGAUCAAAAGAGACUAUGGAAGAGGUUCACUAGUGGAAGGUAUCAUUCUACCCAAGCCUAUAUGUUUUCUUCUGAAUUUAACUUUCCUUCCAUUCCUGCUAUGGGAACCAAAAUGCGAGCUGAGAUCUGGCAAAUUUCUGGGAUCGAAAAAUCCUGAGCUUUGCAGUAAAUUCAGAAGUAUCAACAACACUGGCUUGUUGCUUUGAACACAGAAAGCCAGCAGCACAAAAUGUACUCACUGCACAAAUUACCAUAUUGGUAUAAGCCCUAUUCAGACAUUAUGUUGUACACUGUAUAUAGUAGAUGUCUGUACAUUCA